GGCAACGACGGCAACGUGGUGUCGGAGAAGAUGAUGCACCUCUGCCUUGAAUCGCACGAAACAACACGGGGAUAGUGAGCACGCUUUCACGGUGUUUGAGUACGUUUGAAACAGAGAGAAUGCAGAUAUCGGAAAUUUCAAGCAUUCGAGCGCAUUUCAAGUGAGUAACUCUUGAAGAAACCAGAAGCGGUAGUUUUAUCUUUGCUUAUCCGAAGCGUUGACGUGUAUCAGCAACACUCGCUCGAUCGCCGAUCGUAUUUCUCUGGGAUUCUUCGUGUCGUUUAUAAUCGGACGGUGUAGGUUCGAGUCCCGUCAUCCGACGAUUACGCGAAAUCUGCAGAGCGAUUUAUCCUGCGCCUCGGUGCGUCGCGUUGCGUCGUAUCACGGUGCGCGUUGUCGCGCGCUACCCCUACGAUGUGCCGCGUCCAAGUUGUUUGGGUGAGGGACUCCGGAUCCCCGAAUCUCAUUGACAGACACACGGCCGCGCGAUCUCGCGAAUUACGCGAUUACUGCGAAGACGCGGUUUAAUGAGGUCUCAGUGUAACGAUUUUAUUGUUGCAAUUGUAAUUACAGUAGUCGUAAUCGUAAUCGUGGUUGUGAGAUGGUAACAGGGACGUCGUGUCGGGGACCGAGCAAGGUAGAUGCCGGGGUCAGGCGAGCUCGUUGCUGUCCGGGAAGUGGUCGCGGGCGUCCAGGCAGGCGGCCAGAUCGAGCACCAGGUGAUGAAGGGUGGGAUGCUCGAGGACCUC